rnacentral:rRNA from 1 species
GAUGAACGCUGGCGGCGUGCCUAAUACAUGCAAGUCGAGCGAACAGACGCGGCGCUUGCUCCUUUGACGUUUGCGGAGGACGGGUGUGUAACUCGUGGAACCUCUCCCUAUAUGUCUGGGAUAACUUCGGGACACCGGCGCUAAUACCGUAUAAUAUAUUGCACCGCAUGGUUCAAUAGUGAAAGACGGCUUUGCUGUAUCUUAUCGCUGGAUCUGAGCCGCUUUAGCUGGUUGGUACGCUCACGGCUUUCCAAGGCAACGAUGCGUAGCCGACCUGAGAGGGGGAUCGGCCACACGGGAGCGUGAACGCGGUCCAGACGCCUGCGAGAGGCAGCAGUAGGGAAUCGUCCGCAGUGGGCGAAAGCCUGACGGAGCAGCGCCGCGUGAGUGAUGAAGGUCUUCGGUUCGUAAAACUCGGUUAUUAGUUGAGAACAAAUGUGGAAGUAACUGUACACGGCGUGACGGUACCGGAUCAGAAAGCCACGGCUAACUACGUG